rnacentral:precursor_RNA from 10 species
CAGAAGAGGCUUGUUGUGAACAAUGCUUGGCAUUCUUCUUUGCAUUGCGUACCGUAAGAAUUUGCUAACUAUGGAAUGUGAAGAAGUAUGCCAAGCAGGUUCCGUGGUCAACUCAGAUGCCA